AUUGAACGCUGGCGGCAGGCCUAACACAUGCGAGUCGAGCGGAUGAAGGGAGCUUGCUCCUGGAUUCAGCGGCGGACGGGUGAGUAAUGCCUAGGAAUCUGCCUGGUAGUGGGGGAUAACGUCCGGAAACGGGCGCUAAUACCGCAUACGUCCUGAGGGAGAAAGUGGGGAAUCUUCGGACCUCACGCUAUCAGAUGAGCCUAGGUCGGAUUAGCUAGUUGGUGGGGUAAAGGCCUACCAAGGCGACGAUCCGUAACUGGUCUGAGAGGAUGAUCAGUCACACUGGAACUGAGACACGGUCCAGACUCCUACGGGAGGCAGCAGUGGGGAAUAUUGGACAAUGGGCGAAAGCCUGAUCCAGCCAUGCCGCGUGUGUGAAGAAGGUCUUCGGAUUGUAAAGCACUUUAAGUUGGGAGGAAGGGCAGUAAGUUAAUACCUUGCUGUUUUGACGUUACCAACAGAAUAAGCACCGGCUAACUUCGUG
rnacentral:rRNA from 1 species